GACGAACGCUGGCGGCGUGCUUAACACAUGCAAGUCGAACGGUAAGGCCCUUCGGGGUACACGAGUGGCGAACGGGUGAGUAACACGUGGGUGAUCUGCCCUGCACUUCGGGAUAAGCCUGGGAAACUGGGUCUAAUACCGGAUAGGACCACUGCCUGCAUGGGUGGUGGUGGAAAGCUUUUGCGGUGUGGGAUGGGCCCGCGGCCUAUCAGCUUGGUGGUGGGGUGAUGGCCUACCAAGGCGACGACGGGUAGCCGGCCUGAGAGGGUGACCGGCCACACUGGGAAGGAGAUACGGCCCAGACUCCUACGGGAGGCAGCAGUGGUGAAUAUUGCACAAUGGGCGCAAGCCUGAUGCAGCGACGCCGCGUGAGGGAUGACGGCCUUCGGGUUGUAAACCUCUUUCAGCACCGACGAAGCGCAAGUGACGGUAGGUGCAGAAGAAGGACCGGCCAACUACGUGCCAGCCGCCGCCGUAA
rnacentral:rRNA from 1 species